rnacentral:lncRNA from 1 species
UGGACGGUCCAGAUCUCACACGUGCAGACGGUCCAGAUUGCAUCGCGAUGAACGGUCCAGAUUUAUUUCUAAUUUAAUCCCGAUCGGAUGGCCCAAAUUAAAUCGUGAUGGACGACUCAGAUUAAAAGGGGAAGGUUAUAAAUAAUCGCAUCCACACCCAACCCCAAACCCUAGCCGCCAGAACCCUCACCGGAGAAGACGACCCAGCCACCAGAGGAACCCGCCGCCGCCAGCCAGCGCCGCACCAGAGGAUUUUUCGGCCGCCAAACGAGGUUGACCGGAGCAAAACACCAAAUCGCAACUCGUGCCGGAGGAGCUACCACACCCGAGAGC